AAACCAUAAAUAUUAACACCUUCAUCCACUUUUGAACAACCAAGAACAAUUUAUCUAACUUAAUGAGAUGGUUCCUAUUAAUGUCCAUUUCUUCACUGUGCAACAACCUUUCUUGCUUUCCUUCAGACUUCAAACAUGUGCCCCUUUCCUCUUCCGCAACAUCAGUGCACCAUUUGAAGUAGUCGCAACCACCCUCUUCAGCACCACUCUGUAUAAACAACAAUCUUUUCUCAGAAACACUUCGGCAUAAUACAAACAUCAAAUAAAUCAUACCUUAUACUUCGAGCAUCCCCAAAAUUGCUUCCCACGAUUCUUCACAAUUUUAGCAGUUCGCAUCACACAUCUCAGUCCAUAGUGGCAAAUCGGUGGACACACGUUACGGUUCUCCUUCAUCCAUACAUUGCACGUCGACGAACAACAUGAAUGCUCCUUCGACAUCGUGUUCUCCUUCGACAUCGUGUUCUCCUUCACCCGCCCAUCCACNUNCGUNGCACCACAAAACACUCUAAUAAGAACCACGACAAGCUCGAACAAAGACGAAUCUCGAUCAAUUUAUGGAUGAAGGUCGCUCAAUUUAUGGAUUUAGGGUUUUCUUCCGAUUUAAGGAUUUCUUCCAAUUUAGGGAUUUCUUCAAAUCCCAAUUAAUCUCCACAAUUAUCCCCAAUUACAGAGCAGGUCAGACUUACCUAAGCACUAAUCAAGUCUUCCUUUAAUUGAAACGUGCAUUUUGAUAUGAAAUAUUUAAUUUUAAAUAUAAAAAUCAUGAAAAGCCAUGUAACAUGACCAACUUCUGCCACGUCAGGAACACUUAGUCUUGUCACCAACCCACGUUUCAAUUUUUGUAACACCGUCUAGCCAACUUAACGGCA
rnacentral:lncRNA from 1 species